rnacentral:rRNA from 1 species
UACGAAGGGUGCAAGCGUUACUCGGAAUUACUGGGCGUAAAGCGUGCGUAGGUGGUUUGUUAAGUCUGUUGUGAAAGCCCCGGGCUCAACCUGGGAAUGGCAAUGGAUACUGGCAAGCUAGAGUGCGGUAGAGGGUAGUGGAAUUCCCGGUGUAGCGGUGAAAUGCGUAGAGAUGUGGAGGAACACCGAUGGCGAAGGCAGCCCCCUGGGUCAAGAUUGACGCUCAUGCACGAAAGCGUGGGGAGCAAACAGG